UUUAAAGAAUAUAUACAACACUUGAAAACAUUCUGUUGUGUAAUUAGAAAAUCUGGUGUUAUGCUAAAAUUGUUUUGGCUCCAAAGUUUGCCUCCACUGAUUUGGCUUGGCUUUUGAAUACUUGCAUGUGUCUUAGAAUUCACACAAUAGUGUUUAUAUUUCUGUUGUGUAACUAUGUUGAACUUUCUACAAGCAAAUACAUUUAGACUUGCAUAACAUAUUAUAAUGUUUUGUUGUGUGAUAGAUAGACUGAUGCGCGCUAUAUCAAAGCUCAUAUAUUUUCAUAAGCGGCAAAUUUCUCUCUCCAUCUCAUUUAAGUUUGAAAAAUAUACACACCACAAAUUUUUUAAUUUAAUUUCUGUUGUGUGGAGAAGUUAGACAAAUAAGUCCCAAACCCUAGCUUGCUCAAAAGUCAAAACACACACUCGCCUCUCUCUGCUCUCAAACACUCGCCUCUCUCUGCUCUCAAACACUCGCCUCUCCGCUCUCAAUUGCUCAAUCGCUCACUCCUCUCUUCUCUUAACGGUAAGCCCACUCUUCUUCUUUCCCAAUCGCUCUCUUUUCUUCUCUCUCAAUCACUCAGUCGUCUCAAUCGCUCACUCCUCUUUAUGGUUUCUUCAUCUCCUUUCUCUUCUCUCUUCGGUUUUGUAUAUUGAUUUAGGGCACUCUCUCCAGUCUCCGGCCACUCAUGAACGCCCCUUUUGCCAGACGUUAUCCAAGACGGCGGAGUUCGGGGUCUAGAAUGUCGAUGAUUUGAUGAACUCGGCUGCCCACUACGAUUUGGAUUCGAUUUGGUGAUUUCAGGGCCUUCUCAAUCCUUCUCCCUUUCAUUUUCUCUCGAGCUCUAUAUUCUCUCCUCUUUUCUGAUGCGAUUAGGUGGCUAAUGAUUUCUUGUUUCAUGGUGGAAGGCCAAGCUAGUCCAGGCGGUAGCGGUGAAUGAGGGUUGGGAGUGAGCGUCUUUAGCCUUUGAAGAACAUGUCAACUUCCAGAGAGGUAGUUUAUAUAUUUGAAUUGUUGCU
rnacentral:lncRNA from 1 species